rnacentral:lncRNA from 1 species
UGGGGUAAAUUGACCAAUGGAGGACUUCCACGAAAAAUUAUAAAUAUUUUCAUCACUUUUAACUACAUUAAUUAAUUAACUCUAUAAUUAGGAAUUAAUUACCAUGAAAUUAGUGGUCUUGACAUGGUAUUAAAGGAGUAUUAGGUAAGAGAUGGUAGUGGGAACGUAUGAAGGAACAUAGUAAGUAGACAGUAGAUAACAUCCUCAGUCAGUGUCUGAAUGUAGAUUUUGUUAUGUACUUUUGACCAUUACUUGAUUUCAGUUUUACCAGAGAAAAAGUGAAUUUAUAAUCUCUAAGAUUCCUUUACCAUGGCAUCACACACAAAUUAAGAGAGAGAAAGAAGCACUGUCUGAGCACAGAAACAGCAUUUUCAUCACAUUCCUUCCUAACCUUUUCCUAAUUUCCCUCUGUUUGACGCAUGCUUUCUGUGGCCACCUCCGAUAUUCUUAUUUCUCUCCAUNNNNNNNNNNNNNNNNNNNNNNNNNNNNNNNNNNNNNNNNNNNNNNNNNNNNNNNNNNNNNNNNNNNNNNNNNNNNNNNNNNNNNNNNNNNNNNNNNNNNNNNNNNNNNNNNNNNNNNNNNNNNNNNNNNNNNNNNNNNNNNNNNNNNNNNNNNNNNNNNNNNNNNNNNNNNNNNNNNNNNNNNNNNNNNAUUGCUGUUUCUGUAAAUAUCUUCCUAGGAAUGUAUAUAAGUUUGUCAUCUAUUUUCAAUAAAACAUCAGAUUCUUCCACUGCUAAGUCUCUUUAUGGUAUCAGAGCCAAGACCUCUGGCACGUUGAAAUCUCGAUCAACUAAUGGCUGACAAUGGAGAUAAGUCUAAUAAUAAAGGGAAACGUGUGCUUUCCCUUUAUGAUCUCAAUUCCAAUGAUAAUCCAGAAAACAUCAUCACUCAAGUUCAAUUGCGAGGCGAGAAUUACGAGGAAUGGGCUCGUGCCAUGCGAACCUCCUUGCGUGCUAGAAGAAAGUGGAGUUUCGUUGAAGGCACGGUUGAACGGCCAAAAGAAGGGACAACAGAACUUGAGGAUUGGUGGACAAUCCAAUCUAUGUUGAUUUCAUGGAUUCUCAAUACCAUAGAGCCAAGCCUGCGAUCUACGAUUUCAUACGCGGAGAAUGUGAAGGACCUGUGGAAUGAUAUCAAGGAAAGAUUCUGAUUGCUAAUGGUCCGAGGAUACAUCAACUCAAGUCAGAAUUGGCAGGUUGCAAGCAAGGAGGCAUGAACAUAGUUGCAUACUACGGAAAGUUGAAAAUCUUGUGGGAUGAAUUGGCUAACUAUGAGCAAAUACCAGUAUGCACAUGUACUGGUUGCACUUGUGAUAUACCCACUAAGCUGGAAAAGCGGAGAGAAGAAGGAAAAGUGCAUCAAUUCCUUAUGGGCCUGGAUGAUGCCAUAUAUGGAACCGUGCGCUCAAGUUUGCUCACAAGCGAUCCUUUGCCCUCCUUGAAUCGGGUAUACUCGAUUAUAAUUCAAGAAGAACGUGUCAGAACAAUAACUAGAUCACAGGAGGAAAGGGGUGAGAUUGUGGGACUUGUGGCACAUGCUAAAGGAAGAAAUCGCGGGGAGACCAAAGAAAAAUCUCAGAUUUGCAGAAAUUGCGGCAGAACAGGACAUGAUGUCAAUGCUUGCUUCCAAUUGAUCGGAUACCCCGAGUGGUGGGGGGAUAGGCCAAAAAGCGACGGGAAAGCUAGUGGGAAGAGUAAGAUGGUGCAGCGAGGAAGAGAAAUAGGUGUGAAAGCCAAUGUUGCACAAACAAGUACAAACGGUGGUUCAACUAGACUUGUAACAGAUGCAGACAAGGCUGGUCUCACUGGAUUGACUUCUGAUCAAUGGCAAAAGUUGAUGGACAUACUGAACAAGGUGGACCCUAAUGAAAAGAUGACAGGUACAUUUCAAUAUACUUCAUGGAUUAUUGAUACCGGGGCAUCUAACCACAUGACUGGAAGUAUGAAAGAGAUGCACGAAGUACGUGAUAUUGUACCAUGUCCGGUUGGAUUACCGAAUGGAGCACAUACAACUGCUACAAAGGAAGGCACAGUGUACCUAGGAGGAAGGCUAAAACUUACCAAUGUGCUCUUUGUCCUGAAAUUGAGCUGCAAUCUUAUAUCUGUGUCACAAUUGUCAGAUGAGUCAAAUUGUAUUAUACAGUUCACUAAUAAAUUGUGUGUUUUACAGGACCGAACUUCGAGGAUGCUGAUUGGUGCGGGUAAACGUAAAGAUGGGCUUUACUAUUUCUGUGGAGUUGAAAGAAUACAAACUCACAUGGUGGACGGAAUGAAUCAAGUGGACUUGUGGCACAAACGUUUGGGACAUCCGUCUUUCAAGAUUACACAAUCGAUUCCAGCUGUUAGUAAAAUUAAGGUUGAAGGAUUGUUGAAUAAAAAUUGUGAUGUGUGUUUUAGAGCUAAACAAUCAAGAGAAAAAUUUCCUACUAGUAACCACAAAGCUAGUGAAAUUUUUGAUUUAAUACACUGCGAUUUAUGGGGUCCUUAUAGAAAUCCCUCGUCUUGCAGUGCUUAUUACUUUAUGACUAUAGUGGAUGAUUAUUCCCGAGGUGUAUGGAUUUAUUUGCUUGCGGAUAAGAAGGAAGUGUCUAAAUCCCUCAUGAACUUCUUUGCUUUAGUCAAUAGACAAUUUAAUAAAAAGGUGAAAUUUUUUCGAAGUGAUAAUGGUACCGAAUUUCUUUGCAUGAGAAAUUAUUUCUCAGAACAGGGAAUAAUAUUCCAGACUUCAUGCGUCCACACACCACAACAAAAUGGGAGAGUUGAACGGAAACAUAGACAUAUUCUAAAUGUUGCCAGGGCACUUCGAUUCCAAGGUAAUCUUCCAAUUGAUUUUUGGGGUGAAUGUGUAUUGACAACUGGUUAUUUGAUUAAUAGAACUCCUUCGGAAAUACUAAAUGGAAAGACUCCUUUUGAAAUGAUUUACGGGGUACCCCCAUCUCUUCAACAUUUACGUGUGUUCGGAUGUUUAUGCUAUGUACAUAAUAAAGGUAGACACGGUGAUAAAUUUGCUCCCAAAAGUAAAAGAUGUAUAUUCCUUGGAUACCCCUAUGGAAAAAAGGGAUGGAAGGUUUUUGAUUUAGAAACCAAAGAAAGUUUUGUCUCUCGUGAUGUCCACUUUAUUGAACAUGAAUUUCCUCUCACUCAGACAUGUGCUCACCAACAAAAUGGAGUCUGUUGUGACUUUCCAUACACCGACACUCUCCCAGACUGUGAAGAAGAAGAGAUGCCUGACUCUGCAGCUGAUCAUGAUGGGACCCUCAAAGUGAGGGGGGGUGCAGAUUGCACCAGCAAUUUGGAAUGUAUCACCACACCACUUGUGGAUCAUGAAACGCAAAUGGUCCCUUUAUUAAGCCACUCAGAAGAUAUUUCUGCUCCAGGGGAUGAACAAUUGGGUCGAGGGUGCAGACUCAAAAAGACUUCCUUCCGUUUACGGGACUACGUCACCAAUACAAUUCACGUGUUAAGCCCAUCUGCUCAUUUGCCUUCACCGUCUUCAUCCUCAGGUACUCCUUAUCCCAUCACACAAUAUGUGAAUUGCCAUAACUUUUCUUUGGCACAUCGUUCGUUCCUUGCAGCUCUUUCACAAGAAACUGAACCCGUGACUUUCAAGGAAGCAAUGAAAGAUCCUCGGUGGCAUAAAGCAAUGCAAAAUGAGAUUCAUGCAUUGGAGGACAACCAAACUUGGACGCUGAUGCCGCUACCUACUGAAAAAAAAGCUCUUGGAUCCAAAUGGGUUUACAAGAUCAAAAGGAAAUCUGAUGGAACGAUCGAAAGGUUCAAGGCACGAUUAGUCAUUCUUGGAAACCAUCAAGUUGAAGGAAUUGAUUAUAUGGAAACUUUUGCACCGGUGGCUAAAAUGGCAACUGUACGCAUUGUCCUAGUUGUAGCGGCCGCCAAAAACUGGGAAUUGCACCAAAUGGAUGUGCAUAAUGCUUUUUUACAUGGUGAUUUACAAGAAGAAGUAUUCAUGAAGCUACCACUCGGUUUCACUGUUUGUCAACCAGGUAUGGUUUGUAAACUCAGAAAGUCUCUCUAUGGACUUAAACAGGCGCCUCGUUGUUGGUUUGCUAAACUCUGUCAUGCACUCAAGGCUUACGGAUUUGUCCAAUCUCUAUGUGAUUAUUCCCUCUUUGUGUUGAAAAAACACGAGAUCCAUCUAGUUGUUUUAGUUUAUGUGGAUGAUCUAAUUGUGGCUGGGGAUGAUCAUGCUGCAAUUGGUAGCUUCAAGGCAUAUCUACAUGCUUGUUUUCACAUGAAGGAUUUGGGCCCUCUUAAAUACUUUCUUGGGGUUGAGGUUGCUCGCUCUAGUACCGGCAUUUAUCUCUGUCAGCGAAAAUAUGCGUUAGAUAUUAUCCAUGAAACUGGUUUGCUUGGGGCAAAACCUGCUGCGACACCUUUAGAAUAGAAUCAUCAUUUGGCUCUUGCUGAUGGACCAAUGUUCUCUCAUCCCGAUCGUUAUCGGCGUCUAGUUGGACGUCUCAUCUAUUUAUGUUUUACGAGACCAGAGUUAUCAUAUUGUGUUCAUAUGCUUUCCCAGUUUCUACAACAACCGAAACAGGAUCAUUGGAAUGCUGCUUUGCGUGUCGUUCGAUAUCUGAAAGGAAAUCCAGGCCAAGGGAUUUUGCUACGCAAAGACAACAAUCUAAUUCUCUCUGGAUGGUGUGAUUCUGAUUGGGCUACAUGCCCUAUAACUAGACGCUCUCUCACUAGAUGGAUUGUUUUUCUUGGUCAUUCCCCGGUUUUUUGGAAAACCAAGAAGCAACACACAGUCUCUCGCUCUUCUGCAGAGGCUGAGUACAGGUCCAUGGCCACUACUACGUGUGAACUCAAAUGGUUAAAAGGCAUUUUACAUUGUCUUGGGAUAUCUCAUUCGCCACCUAUGCCGCUCCUUUGUGAUAGCCAAGCUGCACUUCACAUUGCCAAGAACCCGGUCUUUCAUGAACGGACUAAACAUAUCGAAGUUGAUUGUCACUUUGUUCGCAAUGACAUUCUUGCGGGUAUCAUUCAACCCUCCUAUGUUUCUACUCGACUACAGUUAGCUGACAUUCUCACCAAAGCUCUUGGACGUGCUCAAUUUCAAUUUUUCCUUGGCAAGUUGGGUAUUCAUGAUCUUCAUACACCCACUUGAGGGGGGGGGUAAUGAGGUAUCUGUAAUUCAAUACUGAUAUCAGUCAUAAAUAUAAAAUAUACUGAUAUCAGCAAUAAUUGUAAAGAUGUGCAUCCAAUCAUGCGGGAUUUGUCCAACAAAUCAAAGCCAAUCAAGAGAAUUAAAUUAGUAUGAUUUUAGGAAUCAUUUUAGUCUGUAUAUAGGAUUGCUGUUUCUGUAAAUAUCUUCCUAGGAAUGUAUAUAAGUUUGUCAUCUAUUUUCAAUAAAACAUCAGAUUCUUCCACUGCUAAGUCUCUUUACUCCAUCUCUCUCCCCUUCCUAUUUUGCCUCUUUUCUCUCCCUUUCAAUUUCUCUUCACUUUUGAUGCCAAUUUCUCCCACCCUUCAAAUCCUUUGACAUUGAGCUUUUGGCCCACGUGAAAUCAUGCGGCAAGUUUCGAUUUUUCAAUUAUGGGUUACUUCCCCAUAGUUCAAGGGUUGAUUCUGGCAUCUUUGCNUGUGUUGGGUAUGUAGCUGUUGUUUGGAUCCNUGUGAGCUGGGCUUGCUUUUGGGGUUUAUUGUUCCUUUUUUUGGUCUUCUGGGCGGUUAAUUUGUGUUUUUGGAGGUAGGGUUUGAAGUCUUUGUGGUUAUGNUGUAAUCUANNCAAUUGGGUGGUUGUGUUCUGGUGGACUUAGAAUCUGGGUGUUUGGGAUUUGUUGAUUUUUUUGUCCUGGGGUGUUUGGAUUCAUGGAGGCUCAAUUAGAAGGGAAAAAUCAGUAUUUGUAUGGACCUGUGGUGCCAGAGAUGAAGAGUGUUGGGAAGAGAAGUUUGGAGUGGGAUUUGAAUGAUUGGAAGUGGGAUGGGGAUCUUUUCACUGCUACGCAACUGAAUUCAGUGCCAUCAGAUUGUACGAGUCGUCAGCUGUUUCCUGCUGAUCCUGAAAUUCUUGCAGCUGGUGAUGCUUCUAACAGUUUGUCUUCUUCAUAUGAUGAUGUUAACCUUGUGGAAGGAAGGAGAGAAUUGGAGAAGAGGAGGAGAGGUGUUGCUGACGAACCCAAUGGGAAUAAUCAGGAUUGGCGGUAGCAUUAUCGCCGGUGCCAAUAGCGACAGGAGGGCAGGGAGUCGUCCCUGUGACAUAACCAAUAGUGUCAUUUGCAACAAGAAGAUGAUGAAUCUGCUUUAACCAUGUAGGGUAAUUGUCGGCGCUGAGUUUGAUGGGAAGAGUUGACGCAGUGGGAAAUUCAAUAAGGGGUUUGGAAGCAGUGGAGUGAGCCAUGGAAAAGAAAAAGGAAGGAUUGAAGAAGCAGUUAUGCAGAGGGCAAAUCUGAUACCAUAUAGAGAUUUCAGAGUAGGAAUUAAGAAUGCUCCAAUUUUAUUCACAAUCAAAAGUGCUGAACCCUAUUUUAUAUACAGUAGUGUAGGUAACUAAAUCCUAUAUAUUAGGAAAAGGAUAUUAACAGAAGGAGAAAUAUAAGAGAAAACAUAUUUUAUUGUUACAAACAGAUACUGUUACGUGAGUACACCAAUAGGUGGGGUGGAGAUGAAUGAUGGAGCUGGUUCUCUGAAUUUGAACCUUGGGGUCCAAGUAUAUCCUAUCAUAGAAGGGGAGGAAAAAAGUGGAAAGAAGACAAAGAUAACUGGGAGUACCUUGAACCGGGCUGUUUGUCAGGUGGAAGAUUGUAGGGCUGAUCUUAGUAAUGCGAAGGAUUAUCACCGCCGCCACAAAGUUUGUGAUAUGCAUUC